AGGAAGUGGGGAUGACGUCAGGUCCUCAUGGCCCUUAUGGUAGGGCUACACACGUCAUACAAUGGCCGGUACAGAGGGCUGCCAACCCGCGAGGGGGAGCCAAUCCCAGAAAAACCGGUCGUAGUCCGGAUCGCAGUCUGCAACUCGACUGCGUGAAGUCGGAAUCGCUAGUAAUCGCGGAUCAGCUUGCCGCGGUGAAUACGUUCCCGGGUCUU
rnacentral:rRNA from 1 species